rnacentral:rRNA from 1 species
GACGAACGCUGGCGGCGUGCUUAACACAUGCAAGUCGAACGGUAAGGCCCUUCGGGGUACACGAGUGGCGAACGGGUGAGUAACACGUGGGUGAUCUGCCCUGCACUUCGGGAUAAGCCUGGGAAACUGGGUCUAAUACCGGAUAGGACCACUGCCUGCAUGGGUGGUGGUGGAAAGCUUUUGCGGUGUGGGAUGGGCCCGCGGCCUAUCAGCUUGUUGGUGGGGUGAUGGCCUACCAAGGCGACGACGGGUAGCCGGCCUGAGAGGGUGACCGGCCACACUGGGACUGAGAUACGGCCCAGACUCCUACGGGAGGCAGCAGUGGGGAAUAUUGCACAAUGGGCGCAAGCCUGAUGCAGCGACGCCGCGUGAGGGAUGACGGCCUUCGGGUUGUAAACCUCCUUCAGCACCGACGAAGCGCAAGUGGCGGUAGGUGCAGAAGAAGGACCGGCCAACUACGUGCCAGCAGCCGCCGUAA